rnacentral:rRNA from 1 species
GACGAACGCUGGCGGCGUGCUUAACACAUGCAAGUCGAACGGAAAGGCCCUGCUUGCAGGGUACUCGAGUGGCGAACGGGUGAGUAACACGUGGGUGAUCUGCCCUGCACUUCGGGAUAAGCCUGGGCAACUGGGUCUAAUACCGGAUAGGAGACAUUUUUAGUGUGAUGGUUGGAAAGUUUUUUCGGUGUAGGAUGAGCUCGCGGCCUAUCAGCUUGCUGGUGGGGUAAUGGCGUACCAAGGCGGCGACGGGUAGCCGGCCUGAGAGGGUGGACGGCGACAUUGGGACUGAGGGACGGCCCAGACUCCUACGGGAGGCAGCAGGGGGGAAGAUUGCACGAGGGGCGCAAGCCGGAUGCAGCGAGGCCGCGGGGGGGAUGACGGCCUUCGGGUUGUAGACUCCUUUCGCUAGGGACGAAGCUUUUUGUGACGGUACCUAGAUAAGAAGCACCGGCUAACUACGUG